rnacentral:rRNA from 1 species
GAUGAACGCUGGCGGCGCGCCUAACACAUGCAAGUCGAACGAUUAAAGCACCUUCGGGUGUGUAUAAAGUGGCGAACGGCUGAGUAACACGUGGGCAACCUGCCCCCUUCAUUGGGAUAGCCACGGGAAACCGUGGAUAAUACCGAAUACUUCGAGACUUCCGCAUGGAAGACUCGAGAAAGCUCCGGCGGAGAGGGAUGGGCCCGCGGCCUGUUAGCUUGUUGGUGGGGUAACGGCCUACCAAGGCAAUGAUGGGUAGCUGGGUUGAGAGACCGACCAGCCAGAUUGGGACUGAGACACGGCCCAGACUCCUACGGGAGGCAGCAGUGGGGAAUCUUGCACAAUGGGCGAAAGCCUGAUGCAGCGACGCCGCGUGCGGGAUGAAGGCCUUCGGGUUGUAAACCGCUUUCAGCAGGGACGAGGCGAAAGUGACGGUACCUGCAGAAGAAGCCCCGGCUAACUACGUG